GAUGAACGCUGGCGGCGUGCCUAAUACAUGCAAGUCGAGCGAACAGACGAGGAGCUUGCUCCUCUGACGUUAGCGGCGGACGGGUGAGUAACACGUGGAUAACCUACCUAUAAGACUGGGAUAACUUCGGGAAACCGGAGCUAAUACCGGAUAAUAUAUUGAACCGCAUGGUUCAAUAGUGAAAGACGGUUUUGCUGUCACUUAUAGAUGGAUCCGCGGCGCAUUAGCUAGUUGGUAAGGUAACGGCUUACCAAGGCAACGAUGCGUAGCCGACCUGAGAGGGUGAUCGGCCACACUGGAACUGAGACACGGUCCAGACUCCUACGGGAGGCAGCAGUAGGGAAUCUUCCGCAAUGGGCGAAAGCCUGACGGAGCAACGCCGCGUGAGUGAUGAAGGUCUUCGGAUCGUAAAACUCUGUUAUUAGGGAAGAACAAAUGUGUAAGUAACUAUGCACGUCUUGACGGUACCUAAUCAGAAAGCCACGGCUAACUCCGUG
rnacentral:rRNA from 1 species